rnacentral:tRNA from 1 species
GAGGGUAUAGCUUAGUGGUAGAGUGCUUGCCUAGCAUGCAUGAGGUCCUGGGUUCAAUCCUCAGUACCGCCA